GCCUGGGUGGCUCAGUUGGUUAAGCAACUGACUUCAGCUCAGAUCAUGAUUUUGCGGUUCGUGGGUUCGAGCCCCGCGUCAGGCU
rnacentral:tRNA from 1 species